ACUCUCCAACCAACUGUUAUCCAGUUAGCAUAACUCCUCCGCUCCGCUUAAUUCAUUAAACAUGAAUUUUAAUUCCCUUUUUUUCACCUCGAAUUGCAAAUCCGCCUAUGGAAUUGGUGUACUCAGAAUAGUUUUGUGGCCUUGAUGGAAAGAUACGGCAAAUACUCGAUGAGGAAACUAAGGCACAGAAAAGUUAAAUUGCUUUUCUAAGCCCGGAUGUGAGUGAAGAAGGUGGGAUCUGAAUCCUGGCAGCGGGGCUGCAGAAUUAGCCUUCCCACUGAGAAAGCCUUGUUUGUUCUUGGCACACUGGUGCUUCCAAAAGGUUGAUCCAAGCCGAACAAUGACACAACGUGAAGGCUGAUGUUCAGUGGUGGAGGUGCCCAUGUGUCCUCGCCUAACAGCUGUCACGGUGAGUCCAUGCUGCUCCUGAAAGCUGGAUAAUUAACUGCCGGGUGCUUUGAAGUCCGUGGAAAGCUGCUUCCUACUGUGGUGCCUUUGCAGCCCCUACAACCGCCACGUCAAACGCUUAGUGCCUCAACCACAUCAGUCCCGCUGACUCCUUUAGAUGUGCAAGCUUCUCAAAGAACAGCUAUUUCAGAUGCAAUCAAUCGGUUUGUUUUGGCCCAAAGUAAGAUUCGGACAUCUAUCUGAACAUAAGGAAUGCAGCAUGGCUCACUGGAUGCCACAAUAAACAGAACUGGAUAUAAAAUUCUGUACUAUGUCUCUUUCUCUAGCACCUUGGCUAUAAAACGGGCUAACAAUGCUAUUGGGAGGAAUUAGUAAUUUUGUAUUAUUUCGCAAAUGCACAAGAGAUUUUGCUGAUUAGUUUUUGGAAAGGGAACUAUUAAAGCUGGGUAAAUGUAUGUCUUGAAAAAUGCAUUUGCUCUUGGUUGAUAUGAGAUUUAAAGUUGGGGCAGGCUGCAUCAGAGCUCAUCUUUGACAAAGCUUCUCAACUCACUCUCCGACCACUGGCUUCUCCCUGAAGUGUCCUCCCCCCGCGAAGUGUUCCUUCUCCCUGAGUGUCCUCCCUGGUGGUAAAGGACACUUUACCACCAGGGGGUUUCAGCUCUUCCUUCUGCACUGUACUUAUCAAGGUUGCAAACAUGUUUUCUGGAUUUCUGGAUUCAGUAGUCAAAAGGCUUAGUAGCAUCAGGUCCAUGUUGCAUGGCUCAAUUGGGUUAGAGCUGGUUUGGGCUCCAUUUCCCUCCUAAUCUGGCGCUGGAAACACUGGAGUUUUGACCUUUGCACUAUGAUACAAAUGACAGUAAAUGCUAUUAUCCUUCCUCUAAAUUCUUACAGGUUCACAGAGAAGGAAGGCACAUGCAGAGAUUACACUCUACUAGUGGAAUUCUAGGCUUCGGCCAGGGAGAGGACCUGGAGGAGAGCAGAGCAGGUGCUCCUCAUGUCCAGUAAAGCCUGUCCCUACUUUUGCCAGGGGCAAGGCUUGUCCUGAGCCCUCACCAGAAUAGCAGACAGGGCAGCCUGGACUUCCAAGGGUAAGGGUUGGGGGACAGAAACACAGGGGUGCCAACUGGAAGGGGGUGAUUCACUGCCCAGUUCUACCCACCUCCUUCCCUUCAAGGGCUUCUUCCUGCUGGAGGUAGGUGAAAUAGGAAUUGAAUGCAGAAUUCUUGCAUCUGUUAUUUUUAACUUUAUUAUGAUUAUUAUUUUGAAAGGACUUCAAAGAAUCUGGCAGGUGCUAACUUCAAAAAAUCCACAUAAAACACUGCCCAGACAGUUCAGUUCUGUUGGGCAACUCUGCAAGGCCAUCAGGCAUCCAGUGCUAAUUUUUUUUUUUUUUUUUUUGCUUUAGCCUCUUGUUUGGAAACUUCAAUUUGAGAAUGAGACUGUAUAUUUUCUCUAUGACAAUGCAGGCUUUAUAAGCUUUGCCUAAGUUUUUAUUGGCACUCUGGGAAGCUUUCUGUGUGGGCAAAAUGUUGCUAUUGCCCAACAUUUGGCCAGUGGUUUAGGAGACUGAAGAAACACAUCUCUGGGUUUCGCACAUUUGAUUCUCCCAUGUUGAUGGUGUUUUCCUGGAGAGUUUGCAAGUACACAUGCUCAGGGCUUAGCAUAAGUGCUCAGAGCUGGUUUCUUAGCUAUUUGCUGAAAUAGGAGAUGAGCAAAAUAAAGAUUUUUGUGAGCAUGCUGCUGACCUAGCCAUCUUUCCUAUUAUGAGGAAGAGGACUUCGCACUGGACAGUCCUCUUUGCUGCAGAUACAUUGAUCCUUUUAUUUCAUUGCUUUCUUAGCCAGUUCGAUGCCUGGCAACCUGGAAGUCUCUUGUUGAAAAUAUUUACCGUCUCCCUAUCAUGUAUAUUAUGGCAUGAACAUAUGUGACACUCGAAUGAUGCACAGGAUGAGUAAGACCUGGCUCCUGCUCUCAGCAGAUUUAACUGGUGAGGCAGGACUACAGCGGAUGCAGUGGGCCUUAUUCAGUGCUGUGUAUUAAGCAAUCAGUGGGAGAUCUAUCUGUAUGCUUGACUUAGUGCUCCAGUUGUUCAAGAAAGGAGGUAGUCUGUUUUGGGCUGGGCUGUUCAGAAUAGGUGAAUAUGGUCCUAAACUGGGCUGCAAGGGUUGAGAGGGAUUAGGCAGACUAUAGGCAUGUGAGUUUUAAGGUGAAAAUGGAGUUACAGGGCAAAGACGUUUGGGUCAGACUGAGGCAGGGGAAGACUAAAGAACAUCUCUUUAUUCUAUAGCUAAUGCUGAAAUAUUUCAAUGCAAUGGUGGGAAGGAUGUGAUGAAAGCAAUGUUCUAGGAAGAUUAAUCUGGAAGCUUAACUGAUUAGAGCAAUGGGAGAUACAAUAUGGAGGAAGGCUAAUUGGGAGGUUCUUUCUUUAAACUAUUUAUUUAUUUGUUUGAAAGGCAGAGUUACAGAGACAGAGGGAGAGACAGAGAAAUCUUCCAUCCUCUGGUUCAUUCCCCAAAUGACCACAGUGACCAGGGCUGGGUCAGGCCAAAGCCAGGAGCUUCAUCUGGGUCUCCCACAUGGGUGCAGGGGCCCAGGUACUUGGGUCGUCUUUCACUGCUUUCCUAGGCGCAUUAGCAGGGAGCUGGAUCGGAAGUGGAUGUGAACCUGUGCUCAUAAGGGAUGCCAGCAUUGUAGGCAGUGGCUUAACCCGCUAUGGCAUAACACAGGCCCCUAGAGGCUCUUGAAUAAUGCAGGCAGAUAGUGAAUGGAGCCUAAUUUAAGGUGGGAGAGGAAAGAAAAGCAGGGAAGGGAUGAUUUUAGAGAAUCGCCCUUUAGGAAAGACAGUUGAAUGUGGUUGGAUGAGGAAAGAGGGGAGGAGUAGACGGCACUGUAGUUUACCUGCAGCUUCCAGCCUGGAGGAGAACAGGAACUGAGAGUUGUGCCCUGCCUUUCAUUGCACGUGCUCACUUUUCUCCAGCCUUGCAGGUCUGCUUGCUGUUCCUUGGGCAAGGUAAGUCUUGCCACUCGAAUUCUCUGCACUUGCCAGUCAGCUCAGAACACUCUCCCCCUGACGUGUGCCUUCACUUGCAGUCCCACCUGGCCUUCUCCAUUAAUUUAUGUCACCUUUUUUUUUUUUAAAGAUUUAUUUAUUUAUUUGAAAGUCAGGGUUACACAGAGAGAGAAGAGGCAGAGAGAGGUCUUCCAUCUGAUGGUUCACUCCCCAAUUGGCCACAAUGGUCGGAGCUGUGUUGAUCCAAACCAAUGUCACCUUUUUAAACAUUGGAGUGCUCAAAUAAUGCACUAAAUAUUAAAAUAUGACUCUUCCCAAUGUUCUUGCAAAUUUUUAGGGUAGAGAGCCUAAGCUGUAGAAAUUGCUCAGAUGUGCCCUCGUCAGAGCAGACGCCUUGGGAUACUCCGGCUCCACUUUCCUUUAACCUGCUUGAUUCUUCUUCAUAUAAUGCUUCCUCAGCUGACAGAGUAUUAUAUAAUCAUCUGUUUUGUUAUUUUCUAUCUUUUUUAGUAAAAUGUAAUGGUGUCUAUGCAUGACUUUGCCUCUCUUUUUAAUGGCUGUAUUCUCAGCACCUAUUAUAGUGCAUGGCACUUUUAAGUUCCCAAUAAAUAUAUGAAUUAAAUGAAUAAAACAGCAAGUUCAAAAAACAGGCUAAUUUAGGAAGAGGAGGAGAUGCAAGAUGAUGAGUUAUCUUUGAAAAUGGAUCAUCCUAGAAGAAAUAACUUUAAAAAAGGUUUUAUGUAUUUAUUUGAAAGGCAGAGUAAGAGAGAGAGGGAGAGAGAGAGAGAGAGAGAUUGAUUUUCCAUCUGCUGAUUUACUCCUCAGAUAGUCACAAUGACCAGCGCUGGGCCAGGCUGAAGUCAGAAGCCUGGAAAUUCUUCCAGCUCUCCCAUGUGGGUGGCAGGGCCCAGGUAGUUGGGCCAUAUUCUGCUGCUUUUCCAGACUAUUAGCAGGGAGCUGGAUUGGAAGAGGAGUCAGCAGGACAUGAACUGUCACUCAUAUGGGAUGCUGGCAUUGCGGCAGUAGCUUGCCCUGCUCCACCACAAUGCCACCUCCAAGAAUUGACUUUUAGAUACUGGCUGACAGGAGCUCAAGGUUAGGAGGCAGCUUUGGGGUUCGUGUAGGUCAACCUUCUUCGUAAGCAUCAGAACAGCCCCUGUGGGCUCCACUGGUGCUUAUUUCCGGGUUCUUGCCAUACUGUAAGAGUCCACUUCUUUUCCUCUGUGGUUGGUUCAUCUUUUCUUUUGGAAGGAGGGGAGAGCAGCUUUGGAAUGGGAGGGUGUAUUGGGAAGCCAUUGACUGUGAAUGGAUGACCCGAAAGUCCCGAUUUUCUCUCUUAAGCCAUUAUAUAAAUAUUCAGUGCUUUUUAGAAACUCCAAUUAUAAUUAUUGGAAUGAUUUACUACAAACUUCGUGAAACAUAUUUGACAUAGCCUGCCAUAAUCCAAAUGAGACCAAACACCCAAGCAAGGCACACCUGUAGCUCAUUGCUUUCCACUGUUUCAAUUGCUCUAAUUCCCCCUUGUGCUAGGAGCAUAUUAGAAUCACCUGCCAAACUAGUUUACAGUUUAAUGAAGGAACUCAUAUGCAUUCAUUUGGUUUUGCAAAAUAAUCUCCUUAAGAAAACACAUUUUUUCUUUUCAAAUGCUGUUGAGCCUUUUCUUGAUCCAAACCACUGUGUAACAUCACUGCUGACUGUAUUGAAAUGAAUGAAUACAUCAUAAAGCACUUGACUGCUGCCUGACGUGACCUAUAGAGAAUAUAAUUGUCUGCUGUGUGACGUAGGCACAUAACUCCAUUACUGGAUUCUUAUGGAGCCAUCGGUCCCAUGGAUGGUCCUUUUCUUGGCAAAUCAGCCACCAAAUUCCAAAGCUGCCUUACUGGCAAGGGCCAUCUUCAGGUCAGAUUUCCCCAGCCCGAGUCCUGCAAAUGUUCCCAGAAGCCUUGGGGUGCCCAGGCUAUUGUCAGAGUCUGCUUAGAAAGCUUGUCGUGCUUUCAGUAACCCUAGGCCACAGCUUCCCAUGUUCCCCUGGCCUGUUGGACAACAUCCUCAACAGGUGCUCCCCUAAUUUUAAUCCUCCAGUCACAUUUUUGUGUGGGCUGGGGAUCAGCCACCAUCCAGAAAUGAGGUGGCGAGGAGCUUAGUAUUGUUCUGGCCUUUGUGUUACCUGUUUUCCCCAGAUAUCUUUUUUUUUUUAAAGAUUUAAUUUAUUUAUUUGAUUGGCAGAAUUACAGAAAAAGGGAGAGACAGAGAGAAAGGUCUUCCACCUACUGGUUCACUCCCCAAAUGGCCUCAAUGGCUGGGGCUGAGCCCAUCUGAAGCCAGGAACCAGGAGCUUCUUCCAGGUCACCCAAGUGGGCACAGGGGCCCAAGUACUUGGGCCAUCCUCCACUGCUUUCCCAGGCCAUAGCAUAUGGCAGGAUCAGAAAAGGAGCAGCUGGGACACAAACUGGUGCCCAUAUGGGAUGCUGGUGCUAAAGGUGGAGGCUUAGUCUACUUUGCCACAGCGCCGGCCCCUCCCCAGAUAUCUUUAAAUGGCACAUAGUCUACUGAAGAGAGAUUAGUGGGUGUAGAUUAUUGGUGGGGGGCAGUUUAAAAAACUCUGUUACAUGCAAUUUGCAUAAACCUGGGGUCCACACAGUAUUGUGAAUUUCUGUGGAAUCCAAGGAUUUUAGCGGUAUGCCUAUCUAAACAGUUUACUAUGGUUCAGAACAUUCCAUGUAUUUUCUCAGUUGGCUAAUGAAGAAGCAGGUAACAUUUUUUUCCUACCACCUUAAAAAAAAUCACAAUCCUGAAGGAGAAAGUUUUGAUUAAAGAGGAGAGGGCAAGAGGAGGAGUAACUUUGGAGCAGGGCAGAGAUACCCGUGGAUAGAUCUGCUGGAAGGAGGAGGAGUCAGGGGACCAGGUGCUAGGCAGGUGCAUUAGGCAGCCCUUAUUCCCCACCAGGAAACACCCGAGGCAGCCUAACUUUAUAAAGGGCAGAGGUUUACCUUGGCUCACAGUUCUGGAGGUUCACAGGUCAAGAUUGGGUCCCACCUCUAGAUAUGCUGGUCUUGUUGGCAGAGUGCCAAGGGGGCACAGGUUAUCACAUGGCAAGAGACAGGGAACAUGGAUGUCUGUGUGGUCUCUUAUGGUACCACCAUGAUUGAACCACAAGGCUGUACCCCAAGGACCUAAUCCAAAGGCUCCACCCCUAAAUAACUGAAUUAAGCUUCCACCCUGUUGGUACCCUAUUUGCUUUGAGAACUAAACUCCUGAGUUUUGCUGGGAUGUGGGAGUGGGGUCUUGCUUCAAACCAUAGCAGAGGGUGAUAUAAAAAAGAGGUUGUUCAGGACACAGUGUAUAUUCUCCUGUACUUCAGUGAAAGACCCUGGAAUUGUCACACCUGAUCCAAUUCCUGGGCUAGCUUUGCCUUUGCCCUGCUAUUUCAGGGUGCUGAUGUGAUAUCCGCUCUCAAGCUAAGCUUGAUUAGAAUCUCGAGAGGUGUGUUUGAGAAGUCUACUGAGGGUGAACAUGUUGUUGACGUCGUUAUUGCUGCUUUAAUGGUAAUAAUAGUUACCACUUUUUUAAAAAAGAUUUAUUUAUCUGAAAGAGCAGAAGGCAGAAAAGGAGACAGAGAGAGAGAGAGAGAGAGAGAGAGAGAUGGAUUGAUUUUCCAUUUGUUGGUUCACUCCCUGAAUGGCUAUAACAGCCAGGUCUAGGCUCAGCUGAAGUCAGGAGCCAGGAACUCCAUCCUGGUCUCCCACUUGGGCCAUCCUCUGCCGCCUUCCCAGGCACUUUAGCAGGAAACUGGAUUGGAAGUGGAGUAACUGGGACUCGAACCAGCACUCUGAUGUAGGAUGUGGGUGCCCAGGUUGCUGCUUGAUCUCCUGUGCCACAAUGCCAGCCCCUGUAGUUAGCACUUUUCAAAAGCUUGUUAUGUGCUACAAGCUGCUAUGUGUAGGCUAUGCCUUACAGAAUUCAUUUUUACAAAAACCUUGGAGGUUGGUGUUCUUACUUUAAAGGUUAUCAUUUCCUGGCUGGGUUCUCACAGCAAAUAGCAGAUCUAGGAUUUGAACUCCAACUGACUCCAACAUUUAUGUGACAGAAUAUCAAAUAAAUAAUUUAACUCUACUCUCUUAUCCCUCCAUUAUGCUAUUUGAGCCAGUCCAAUGCAUCACAGCACUAAAGCAGCAGCAAGAAGACCAACCGCCCUGUUAGCUGUUUCCAGACUCAGGGUCUCAAGCUGCCUUCAUGUGUGUCAGCUUUUCUAAUCCCUGGGCUACUUCUUCCUGAUUCCAGAUGUCCAGUAAUAACUUAUCAUCUACAAUUAAUUACUCUCUUUUAGAUGUAGUCCCAUCCUGUGAAAUAAAGCAAAACCAAGCACUUCUCUUGAUUUAAUGCUGGCAUUUUGUUCUGAUUAAUUAAGAACUAAAAGUGCUAAAAUAGAAACCAAAGCCCUUGGAAGUCCAACAGGAAGCAAACACAAUGAGACAGCACCAGGCUCAGAAAUAACCUUGAGAAGUGGUGGAAAGGGCAGGAGACAGGAGACUGAGCGCACCACUGCGUACACCGUCUGAUAGGGCCGCUUGUACCUGCACCCAGAGGGCGACCUGGGGCCUGUGUUUCUCUGAGGCCACUUGUUCGGUGCACACCCUCAAGAUUCAUCCCCCUGAGCUACCUGAAAGUGGGCCUUCUUACAAAGAGGAAAAGGGGGCUGGUGUUGGGGUGCAGCAGGUUAAGCUGCCGUCUGUGACACGGGCAUCCCAUAGGAGCAUGGAUUGGGAUCUCAGCUGUUCCACUUCCGAUUCAGCUACCUGCUAAUACAUCAGAGAAAACCCUGGAAGAUGGUCUGAGUACCUGAGCCCCUGCCACUCUUGUGGGAGACUGGAAGAGGGAAUUCUAGGCUCCUGGUUUGGCCUCACCCUGACUGGCUAUUGUAGCCACUUGGGAACUGAGUCAGCAAGUGGAAGAUCUGUCUCUUUGUUUCUCUCUUUGUAACUCUGCCUUUUAAAUAAAUAAAUAGUAAAAAAAAUCCUAGCUCACAUGUGUCUACCUACUUACCUAUCUAUAAAUAUAAAAAAAUCCAAA